UUCUGUCAGAGACAAAUACAGCUCAUUAGGAUUAAAGUUACACACACACAGAGUAGAAUUUACUAAAUCACUUUUAAACUGUCUACAUUCCAGCAAAAUACUACAGUAUGGGAGCUUCAGCAUGUAUUUGUCAUAAUAUUGUUGUUCAUGUUCUUGUCUACCUUGAAAUUAUCUUCAGUCAGGCCUUCCUCCGUCUUGGCGUCUCUGAUCAUGGCGGCCACGUAGCGCUUCACCAGGUUCCUCAGCACCUCCUGUGUACAGUUCAUCCAUCAAAGAGGCCAUCAGCACACCUUCCACUGGCGUCUCCAUCGAGGAGUCACGGCCCGUUAGGCGGGAGACAAAUGGCAAGCGGCGACUCAAAAAGGAAGCGCACUUCGAGAAUACUCCCACCCCGCGCCCCACCCCCACUCACACAACACCCAACCCCCCCGCUGAGGUGAACAAAUAACUCCACCCCACCCGGACAGCACUCUGCACAGUGCACAUGUGCAUGCAGGCCUGCAGAGCUUCAAAAAGAACAUCUGCAACGUUUCAGCUCAAUGCUUCUGCUGAUGGUGAUGGACUGGAGACAAAGAAGCUCACCUGCAUACCGCCGCUGGGCUUCUUGUGGUUGAGCAACAGCUCCACAGCACCCACCACCUCCUUGCGGAUGGCAUGCAGCAGGGCGUCACCGACAUACACGUUGAAGCCGAGCAGCAGCUCGAUGAUCUCCAGGUUCUCAUUCUCGAUGGCAAUGAGCAGUGCCGUGCGGCCCAGCGGGUCGAUGCAGUUGAUGUUGAUCUUGAAGUAGAUCUCCGCCUCCUGCAUUCACGUGGAGAGCAAGAACCUUACUGAUUUUCAAAGCAUACACUGUAUGACCAGAGAUUUUUUUAGGGUAGCUGAGCCCUCUGGAGGCACAGAUUUGGACCAAUCUUGGAACUUUUACUGUCAAAACAAUACAGAUACAGUACUUUGCACAGUUUUGUUUUAAAAGGAGUGAUACAUCUGUCACUAGCUCCUUUUCCACCGCAGGAACUUUUUUAGGAACUUUUCUAUUGGGCAAGAGCAAGAAACCUACUGUUUAAGGUAGCUGAGCUCUCUUGAAGUCACAAAUUUAACCCAAUCUUGGAAAUUAUAAAGUCAAAACAACACCUCAGCUGAUAUGUACAUUAGUACAGCUUUGCUUUGUAAGGAGUGAUACAUCUGUCACGAAUCCCUUUUCUACUGCAGUAAUCUAUUUACAUGUAAUUUUGAAAAUACAUGCUGCGUCUCCAGCAAAACUACCCGGAACUUUUGAAAACCUCAGGCAAAUAAAAAAGUUCCUCUGGUGGAAAAGGGGCAAGUGGAUGUAUCACUCCUUACAAAACACCGCUGUACAAAAUAUCUGUAGAACAGUUUGUUUUGGCAUUAAAAUCUCCAACGUUGGGUCAAUUCGGUGAAUUCAACAGAGCUGAGCUCACCUAAAAACAUCUUUGUACAUGCUUUGAAAAUCACUAGGGUUUUUGCUCUUGCUCAAUAGAAAAGUUCCUGCAGUGGAAAAGGGGCUAGUGAAUUUUAUCACUCCUUACAAAGCAACACUGUACAAAAUAUCAGUAGAAUCAGUAAAGCUCUAGUAAGGGGCUAGUGACAGAUGCAUCACUCCUUACAAAACAAAAUAUCAGUAGAAUCAGUACAGCCCUAGUAAGGGGCUAGUGACAGAUGCAUCACUCCUUACAAAACAAAAUAUCUGUAGAAUCAGUCAAGGUUUUGUUUUGACAUUACAACUUCCAAGACUGGCUCAAAUUUGUGACCUAAAGAGAC